rnacentral:rRNA from 1 species
UACGUAGGGCGCAAGCGUUGUCCGGAAUUAUUGGGCGUAAAGAGCUCGUAGGCGGUUUGUCGCGUCUGCCGUGAAAGUCCGGGGCUCAACUCCGGAUCUGCGGUGGGUACGGGCAGACUAGAGUGAUGUAGGGGAGACUGGAAUUCCUGGUGUAGCGGUGAAAUGCGCAGAUAUCAGGAGGAACACCAAUUGCGAAGGCAGCUCGCUGGAACGUAACUGACGCUGAGACGCGAAAGCGUGGGGAGCAAACAGG